CCUACGGGAGGCAGCAGUGAGGAAUAUUGGUCAAUGGACGAGAGUCUGAACCAGCCAAGUAGCGUGAAGGAUGACUGCCCUAUGGGUUGUAAACUUCUUUUAUAUGGGAAUAAAAUGUUUCACGUGUGGGAUUUUGUAUGUACCAUAUGAAUAAGGACCGGCUAACUCCGUGCCAGCAGCCGCGGUAAUACGGAGGAUCCGGGCGUUAUCCGGAUUUAUUGGGUUUAAAGGGAGCGUAGGUGGAUUGUUAAGUCGGUUGUGAAAGUUUGCGGCUCAACCGGAGAAUUGCAGUGGAAACUGGCAGGCUUGAGUACAGUGAAGGUAGGCGGAAUUCGUGGUGUAGCGGUGAAAUGCUUAGAUAUCACGAAGAACUCCGAUUGCGAAGGCAGUUCGCUGGAGCGCAACUGACACUGAGGCUCGAAAGUGUGGGUAUCAAACAGGAUUAGAUACCCUAGUAGUC
rnacentral:rRNA from 1 species